GCUCAGUAGGUUGAGUGUCCAACUCUUGAUCUUGGUUCAGGUCAUGAUCUCAUGGUUCGUGGGUUCAAGCCCCACAUUGGGCU
rnacentral:tRNA from 1 species